rnacentral:tRNA from 1 species
GUCUUUGUAGCUUAUCAACCAAAGCAUGGCACUGAAGAUGCCAAGAUGGUCGCAGCGCGCACCCGAAGACA